GAUGAUUGAAGGGAGUUGCUCCUAGUACGAGAGGACCGGAGUGAACGAACCUCUGGUGUUCGGGUUGUCACGCCAGUGGCACUGCCCGGUAGCUAAGUUCGGAAUCGAUAACCGCUGAAAGCAUCUAAGCGGGAAGCGAGCCCUGAGAUGAGUCAUCCCUGACCCCUUGAGGGUCCUAAAGGGCCGUUGGAGACCACAACGUUGAUAGGUGGGGUGUGUAAGUGCAGCGAUGCAUUGAGCUAACCCAUACUAAUUACCCGUGAGGCUUAACCAUACAACACCCAAGAAGUGUUCU
rnacentral:rRNA from 1 species